AGUCGAACGGGGAUGCAUUAAGAAGGAGUGCUUGCAUUCCGGAAGGAUGUAUCUUAGUGGCGGACGGGUGAGUAACGCGUGGGUAACCUGCCCCAUACCGGGGGAUACCACCUGGAAACAGGUGCUAAUACCGCAUAAGCGCACGGAAGCGCAUGCUCCUGUGUGAAAAACUCCGGUGGUAUGGGAUGGACCCGCGUCUGAUUAGCCAGUUGGCAGGGUAACGGCCUACCAAAGCGACGAUCAGUAGCCGGCCUGAGAGGGUGGACGGCCACAUUGGGACUGAGACACGGCCCAAACUCCUACGGGAGGCAGCAGUGGGGAAUAUUGCACAAUGGGGGAAACCCUGAUGCAGCGACGCCGCGUGAGUGAAGAAGUAUUUCGGUAUGUAAAGCUCUAUCAGCAGGAACGAGACAAGACGGUACCUGACUAAGAAGCCCCGGCUAACUACGUGCCAGCAGCCGCGGUAAUACGUAGGGGGCAAGCGUUAUCCGGAAUCACUGGGUGUAAAGGGAGCGUAGACGGCUGAGCAAGCCUGAAGUGAAAGGCGGGGGCCCAACCCCCGGACUGCUUUGGGAACUGUACGGCUGGAGUGCAGGAGAGGUAAGUGGAAUUCCUAGUGUAGCGGUGAAAUGCGUAGAUUUUUGGAGGAACACCAGUGGCGAAGGCGGCUUACUGGACUGUAACUGACGUUGAGGCUCGAAAGCGU
rnacentral:rRNA from 1 species